UUGUGUCUUUGUUGCAAAAGCUGGAAUUUUUAUGGUCCCCAGCCUGCUCUUACAUUGCCUUUCAAUCUCCUGCAGCUACUGUGGUUGAGAGGAAAGGUGUCUUUUUAUUGCUUCUAGAGACGUUGAAAGUGUGACCUGAGCACCUCAUAAUCAUGUGAAAAAGACACUCAAAAACUACCAUUUGAAUGGAUGGAUGAAAAUAACCUCCGUAUAUUCUACGAAGAUGUUUAAUAAUAAAUAGGUUUCGUUAUAAGAGAAUGUGUGUCACUUCGUCUCUUCCCUCACCCCCGAGACUUAGUGACAGUUAUUUUUGACUUUUCCAACUAUACUAUUUGCCUAGAAAAUGUGUCUAUUAAAUAGCGUAUUGAGAAAUAAGUUGUAUCCUGCCAUUAAUUACCAUUAUCAAGACACGUCCCAGGCAAGAUAAUAACAAAAACAACAACAGAAGAUCAUGGAAGCCUCAGCAAGGAAACUUUUCAAAGUCGCUAACCUCGUGGUCCAGCAGGGAGAGGUGGUGGGCGACUUACCGCUGUCAACCUCAGCUCUUAACUCACGGAAGAUUAUGUUCUCACUGUCACAGAUUCCCCACUCUGACCUCAGAAACAGUGUCCAUGAUUGUCAGCCACUUGGAUUAUUCCUUCACCCAGAGUUUGAGCAACAGCACCUUUGUUUCAUACCCCAAAUCAACCAUUCCUAGAACUCGCUGUUUUUGUUUGCUCCCUUGAGUCUUAGUUGUUUGCAGUGUGUUGGUGGAGCUGAGCUGUAAUGCACGAUUGAUCCAUAGGGACUGCUGAGAGUUUCUUUGCUUGAAGGUUUGAUGUGAAUAAACACAUCACUGUCUUACCAGCUUUUUCUUCUUUUGAGAAUACACAUGCCAAUAUUUAGAAAGUAUAUUCUUCUAGAUACCAUAGGGUAUAUUUUUGACAAAUAUUAAUUACUUGCAUUAAAUGAAGUCAUAAUGGACACCAUUUCAGAAAUCUUGGAUUCAACAAAGGAUUGUCCAGACCUCACAGCUGAC
rnacentral:lncRNA from 1 species